GCCAGAGAGUUGUGAAUCUGUGGAAUUCUCUGCCACAGAAGGCAGUGGAGGUCGAUUCACUGGAUGUUUUCAAGAGAGACUCGAAAGAUGGUGAACUACGCCCGGGCAGGUCGAAGCCAGAGGAAUCUCUGGUGGAAAUCGGUCGUGCAAAUCGGUCGUCUGACCUGGGUAUAGGGACGUCAAACACAGAGUUA